GCGGGCGGCGCGGGGGCGGGGCGCGCCGCUGCUGGCGGUGCUAGCCUUGCUAGACUUCAACUCUAUUGUGGUAGCCGGCGAUGACGUCAGCGAUGAGUGUCGUGUUUUCGAUCAAAAUGAAAAAUACAACAUAUUCCUAGAAGAAACAAUAUGGACGAUCGAGUGCGCAGACCUGAUGGUACAAGAGUGUGACGUCACCGAUCCUACUCUCCCGUUCAUAGACCAUCCGACAUACAAACAAACAUUCGACAAACUGUGUGGAGACAACGUAGAGGCCUUCAAGAAAAUGGCCGCGGGCGAAAAGUUACAGCGAUGUGACUCUUUGAAUCCAAAAGUAGAAUUAUUUAUUGAUAGAUUACGUAAGCAAAUUAACAAAAAAAUAUAAUUUAUUUACAUAUUUAGAGCAAUUUUCUAUAUCAUAUCUAUUUCUAUACUAUUUCUAUAUACUAGACCUAUAAAAAAUAUUGUAAGCCUUAUUGCAUAUAAUGUAAUUAAAUACACAAUUUGUGUAAAGAAGCAUUUUACAAUUUUCAUGUAAGAGUUUUUAGAAUUGCUAGUUCAAAAUGUAUUUUGUGCUAGUCAUGGAAUAAGUACAUAAAAAUGACACAAGUUUUAGCA